UGGGGAAUUUUGGACAAUGGGCGAAAGCCUGAUCCAGCAAUGCCGCGUGUGUGAAGAAGGCCUUCGGGUUGUAAAGCACUUUUGUCCGGAAAGAAAUCCUUGGCUCUAAUACAGUCGGGGGAUGACGGUACCGGAAGAAUAAGCACCGGCUAACUACGUGCCAGCAGCCGCGGUAAUACGUAGGGUGCAAGCGUUAAUCGGAAUUACUGGGCGUAAAGCGUGCGCAGGCGGUUUGCUAAGACCGAUGUGAAAUCCCCGGGCUCAACCUGGGAACUGCAUUGGUGACUGGCAGGCUAGAGUAUGGCAGAGGGGGGUAGAAUUCCACGUGUAGCAGUGAAAUGCGUAGGGAUGUGGAGGAAUACCGAUGGCGAAGGCAGCCCCCGUGGGCCAAUACUGACGCUCAUGCACGAAAGCGUGGGGAGCAAACAGGAUUAGAUACCCUGGUAGUCCACGCCCUAAACGAUGUCAACUAGUUGUUGGGGAUUCAUUUCCUUAGUAACGUAGCUAACGCGUGAAGUUGACCGCCUGGGGAGUACGGUCGCAAGAUUAAAACUCAAAUGAAUUGACGGGGUCAUAGCUGUUUCC
rnacentral:rRNA from 1 species